GUGCACCCUCUCCACGGGCUCUGCCUCCACGGGCUCUGCCUCCACGCGCUCUACCUCCACGACCUCUGCCUCCUGCAGCUCCAGCUCCUCGGACAGCAGCAAAGGCUACUCCCUGGGUACCGAUGAAUGCGCUGGAUCUAAUAAGAUCCAGCGCCCUCUCAGUGAGGGAUCGGGCAUGCGUGCCAACUGCAAGAGCAUCUGGCACCUCCAGUGACUGCUCCAACAAGUCCACGACCCGACGCACAACCGUCUGCAAAAAUAAUGUACAUAAAUGUGAGUGUACAAAUAAAAUAUCAUGAACAAAAAAUCACAAUUGCAUGAAAAAUAAAAUUCAAACUUACCACAGCACUGAACUCCUCCCUCCUAUCAUCAGGGAUGAUGAACCGAUGGGACACACCGCCAUACCACCUCAUGUACUCCUCCA
rnacentral:lncRNA from 1 species